rnacentral:rRNA from 1 species
CCUACGGGUGACUGCAGUCGAGAAUCAUUCACAAUGGGGGAAACCCUGAUGGUGCGACGCCGCGUGGGGGAAUGAAGGUCUUCGGAUUGUAAACCCCUGUCAUGUGGGAGCAAAUUAAAAAGAUAGUACCCCAAGAGGAAGAGACGGCUAACUCUGUGCCAGCAGCCGCGGUAAUACAGAGGUCUCAAGCGUUGUUCGGAAUCACUGGGCGUAAAGCGUGCGUAGGCUGUUUCGUAAGUCGUGUGUGAAAGGCGCGGGCUCAACCCGCGGACGGCACAUGAUACUGCGAGACUAGAGUAAUGGAGGGGGAACCGGAAUUCGCGGUGUAGCAGUGAAAUGCGUAGAUAUCGAGAGGAACACUCGUGGCGAAGGCGGGUUCCUGGACAUUAACUGACGCUGAGGCACGAAGGCCAGGGGAGCGAAAGGGAUUAGAUACCCGAGUAGUC